CUGGCUCAGACUCAGUCGUAACAAGGUACCGUAGAGUUUGAUCCUGGCUCGACUCGAUCCUACCUGGGAAUGCGGGAAAUUUUCCGGAAACGGGCGCUAAUACCGCAUACGUCCUGAGGGAGAAAGUGGGGGAUCUUCGGACCUCACGCUAUCAGAUGAGCCUAGGUCGGAUUACCUAGUUGGUGGGGUAAAGGCCUACCAAGGCGACGAUCCGUAACUGGUCUGAGAGGAUGAUCAGGCACACUGGAACUGACACACGGUCCAUACUCCUACGGGAGGCAUCAGUGGGGAAUAUUGGACAAUGGGCGAAAGCCUGAUCCAGCCAUGCCGCGUGUGUGAAGAAGGUCUUCGGAUUGUAAAUCACUUUAAGUUGGGAGGAAGGGCAGUAAGUUAAUACCUUGCUGUUUUGACGUUACCAACAGAAUAAGCACCGGCUAACUUCGUGCCAGCAGCCGCGGUAAUACGAAGGGUGCAAGCGUUAAUCGGAAUUACUGGGCGUAAAGCGCGCGUAGGUGGUUCACCAAGUUGGAUGUGAAAUCCCCGGGCUCAACCUGGGAACUGCAUCCAAAACUACUGAGCUAGAGUACGGUAGAGGGUGGUGGAAUUUACUGUGUAGCGAUUGAAAUGCGUAGAUAUAAGAAGGAACACCA
rnacentral:rRNA from 1 species